rnacentral:lncRNA from 1 species
UUAAUACAGGUUGCAAUCUCUAGGGGAUGUUGCACGUCUAGACGUUGAAAUGUUCAUGGUGAAGGUUUUCACUUUAAUGAAGGUAUAUUUCAGUUCUCAGUCUUUCUUCUUUUAAAUCACGGCUCAUCUUUUGAUUUGGGAAAGCUCUUUCAAUGCGAACCAGAAAUGGAUGAUAUUGCUUUCCUUGAGUUUGAUUCUUUGUUUGGGUUGAAAAACCUAUCGACCCCAGAAAGAGUAGCACAACAAUUGGGGAAAUAUAUUUUUUAUUAUUUCAGUUUCAGUACUCUCUUUUACUUCUCUUCCUCUUCACUCAUGUUCCGUCUCCUUUUAUUAGAACAGGAUUUGAAGGCCCCGGCCUUACCGCUCCUCAAAAGAUUUGGUUCUGUCUUGCUUCUGUUGGUGGUCAGUACAUAGGCAUGUAUAAAGCUGCUUCUUUCCUUAGCCUUUUGUCAUAUCUUUAUGCAUGGACUUGUUCAUCUUGUCUACAUAUAUAUCCUGAAAAAUCAUACAUUCCUGCCAG